GAUAGUUUUAUUUAGAAUUGUUUUGCGAGUUAUUUUCCUCUUUCAGGUACCGGGGAGGUAACAAGUUUAGAAAGAGUGCAGUGGGAGAGGAGUGCCACCGUAGCGUACAAAAGAAAGUCAAGGGAGGCGAGAAUACUUUUUUUCUGGUCAACCUAAGAAAGGAAGUAAAAUUUGGGGUCCGAUCCGCCACCGUCCCGUCUCAUACUGUUUCUUAAGUAUUUAUUAAAGCUGGCUAUCUUGCGCAUGUGUAUUAAGACAGAUAUUUGGUUCAGAAAAAACGCAUGCGUUUGAAAAUAUACGUUACUCCCAUAAGGUAGACAACUUUUACAAAUACAUCAGAAAACUGUUUGCGGGAGGUGGGUGCGGCGGGGGAGGUCGGAUGGGUAAAAACAACUUUAUUAAAACUAUUGUAAUAUUAGUGUAGUAUGAGAAUGUGAGAAAAAGAUUGUAAUAUAUAUUGAA